GACGAACGCUGGCGGCGUGCCUAAUACAUGCAAGUAGAACGCACAGUUUAUACCGUAGCUUGCUACACCAUAGACUGUGAGUUGCGAACGGGUGAGUAACGCGUAGGUAACCUGCCUGGUAGCGGGGGAUAACUAUUGGAAACGAUAGCUAAUACCGCAUAAUAUUAAUUAUUGCAUGAUAAUUAAUUGAAAGGUGCAAUUGCACCACUACCAGAUGGACCUGCGUUGUAUUAGCUAGUAGGUGAGGUAACGGCUCACCUAGGCGACGAUACAUAGCCGACCUGCGAGGGUGCUCGGCCACACUGGGACUGAGACACGGCCCAGACUCCUACGGGAGGCAGCAGUAGGGAAUCUUCGGCAAUAGACGAAAGUCUGACCGAGCAACGCCGCGUGAGUGAAGAAGGUUUUCGGAUCGUAAAGCUCUGUUGUAAGAGAAGAACGGGUGUGAGAGUGGAAAGUUCACACUGUGACGGUAUCUUACCAGAAAGGGACGGCUAACUACGUG
rnacentral:rRNA from 1 species